CUGUGCAUAGUGGUAUAAUCAAAGUCAAACCUCUUCAGUUGUAAUGUCAGCAGAUAAGGAAAAUGCAAGAACCGCAGGCCCUUCCUUGCAUCACAUUUCUUCUUACAUCGCUCACAAAAAUACUGAUUGGGGCCAUCAAGAAUCUCAGGCUGAAUGAAAGCAUGCAGUGCUUCUUCCACGCUAGCAAACGCCUGGUUGGAGCCAUAUGGACGGAUGACCAAAGGAAUAUCCAGGUACGUGUCGAUUCUCC
rnacentral:lncRNA from 1 species